rnacentral:lncRNA from 1 species
UAAAUGAAGAGACAAAAUAGAUUGAUGUCUGCCCAAUAAGAAGCAUUAGAAUGAUCUUUUUAGUUCCUUGAUAAUCUGUGUUACACAAUCUCAUUAUACAUGCUGUAGGUAUCAGAAAAACAAAUCUCUAUACCUGGCCAAAAAUGAUCUAGAUACAUAAACUAGGAAUAACUACUUCUAUUUGCUUGCCAGAGCUUCAUCUAGGUAAAAAGAUUCUGCUGAUCGAUCUGUUUCAGAGCAGCCAUAUGGUGAACUCAUCAGAUCAUUUGCUUUCUCAUCGAACAUCCUAACUUCUGUUUCUUUAUCAAAUACCUGGUUUCCCUUUUUCCCUCGUUCUGCCCUGGAUGACACUGUUUUGUGCCUGAUACCAACAGCUUCAGCUUGAUCUGCGAAUAAUUUCUUUGAGAUGGAUGAACUGCAUAUUUGUUGAUAUACGUCGUAGGUAGCUGCGUGAGUGUUUUCUCCGUUCAGAAUAUUUGAAAGAGGAUGCAACACGGAAAUUGGAUCACUGUUCCUACUUAGAGUUUCCUUCAAUUCUAGAAACUUAGAAACCAGUUCUGGCUUGCUAAACUGAAUAAAGACAGCGCUUUCAUCCAAAUGGUAGACUGAGGAAACAGAAUUUGGGCCAAAGGCUUGUGCUAUACAAGCUCUUAUCUCCUUUGCUUUUAGUUUAGAUGGCAAUCCCCACAACAGAAUGAUGCUAGGAAAUGAGAUAUCCUGGUACCGACUUUUGAGGUUACUAGAAGCUGAGGAGUCUGGUGUACAUUUCCCACUACUUAGAUCAAUGACGUUACCACCAACCCAACUAAGGUAAAGGCGAUUGAUAUAAUUCUGAAGCUUUGUCUCCUUCACUAAAUCUCCACCAAGCACAUGGAGGGUGAAAUCAAUGCCUAGAUGAUUGCACGCCUGUGCAAAAAUGCAUCCAGUCAUGAAUGCAUCAUAUCCAGCUUCAUGCUUGGCUCCUGAGUUCCAGUUCGAGGAUCUGCAAAUCAACUUAAAAAAUUACUGACAAGGAUUAUUCACAUUGUUCAUUUUGAUUUAUAAAUUCCAGUACGAGGAUCUGCAAAUCAACUUUAAAAAUUAGUGACAAGGAUUAUUCACAUUGUUCAUUUUGAUUAUAAAUCGAGAUACAGCGCAAUAGGUUAAUGCUAUAGAACGCAAUAGGUUAAUUCUUUUCCCAUCAAGAUGUAUAAAUCCUAUUUAUAGACUACUUUCUUUUCUUUAGAUAGUUUGAUCAAUCUCUUUUGCUCGUUAAAGGUAAGGUCCAUGUUCCCUCUAAUCUUCGGUAAGAAUUGUUACUUAUAUAUCACGCGAUAGGGUCUAAAUAAAUCCCCAACACCAAUGACCAAACCAAUAGGCUCACUACCUUCCUAUUGAUGAUGACUUUUGAAAAGAAAUAAAAAUUGUGUUACCCCUCUUUAAUUAUCUGAGAGGAUAUAAAAAUGAAAGAAGGUCUCAAAUUCACAAGAGACCAGACAUGUUUCUAAGCAUGUUUUAAAGUUUUAUUUCAAUUAGGAAUGCUGUUACAUGUAAAUUUUUUUUAGACACAUAGAAGAAAUUAAAGAAUGUGUUGACACAUCUUGACUAAUUUAUUCUAAUAAUUUAUUUAGUUAAUUCAAAUCAAGAUAGGUAGAUAGAGAUUAUUAGGUGCAAUGCGUUCGAGAUAAGAAAGUGGUCAUGCUUCUAAGCUGGUAAAUUUCGAGAUCAAGAAUGUGGUGACGCCUCUAGGUUGAAAUCAAUAACAUUCAAUAAUAUACUCAAAAAAAUAGUUUAAAAUAAGUAUAAGUCAAUAAAAGCGACGAUGCUAGAACCACAAGACUCGAGCGAUGCAUAAUACCUAUUCCUAGGCCAACAAAUUUGUUUUCCCUCUUUCCUUCUUUGUUUAAGAUAUAAGAGUAAAUUUAUCAAAAAAAAAUAUGAUGAGGGGUAUAUAUAUAUAAUAGUUUCCUAAGAAUAUUUAGACAAAUAUAUCCCUUUCUGAAAAUUAAAAAAAAAGUGUUGUAAGAAAAAUAUGAGAAAUAUUAUACUUUAUUGUGUUUAUAUGAAGUUAGUGUAGUGAAAGAGAGAGUUCAGACAACGAAAAAUAUUAUAAGUCUUCAACUAAUUUACUACACAAAAAAGAGUAAUUUUAUAUUGAAAGAUUGUGUUCUUUUGGUGGAGCUUUGAACUCUUCAAUUUAUUUAUAGUUGUUUGAGCCACACGACGUUAUUGGAUUGCUAUAUUUUGAAGGGUACAAGUUAAGAGGUAUACUAUUGGAUCAGUAUAGUAUAUCUUAUGUCGUAGUUAAUUUAAAUUUCCUUAAAAAGAGCGAGAUAUGCACGUUGAUAUAUAUUCAUUCAUCUUUUUUUACUUUAUUUUCAAUUGUAAUUUAUGGAAAUUACUUCCUCUGUCGAACAAUACUUGUCCACUAUUGACUUUACACACUUCUUAAGAAACUAUAAAUAGAAGGGUAAAUUAUUAUAUCAUCCUUUGAAUAUAAUAAAUAUAAUGUCUUAAAUAUCAUAAGAAAAUGACUAUAAUUAAUGAUAAGGAUAAAUUAUGAACUAAAUGUAACAUUAUCUAUUGAUUUCAUAAGGUGGACAAAUAUUACUUAACAUCUCAAAAUAAUAUAAUGAAUAACUAUUGUUGGAGAGUAAAAAUAUAUGAUAUAUACACGACACUUUAUGUCAUCUCACUUCAUUAAUUCCUUUUAUAGAGUAGGUGAGAACAUUCUAAUUUUGGAUUUUUCAUAAUAAAAAUUAGAGUAUUGAAUAGGCAUGAGCUGGAUUAGUUUCACAAGUAAUAAAAUAGAUUGAAUCAAUAAAUGAGUUACAAUUCGAUAUAAAAAUAAGGGAAAAAAGUUUGAAAUAUAUUUGAACUUUGAUAGAAAUUGCUAUAACAAUUUCAAACUUUCGGCACUAUUUAAUAGUGUAUUUUAAAGAUAUAUAAGUGCCUAGUUGGACAAGUUACUAUUUAUAAUGAUACAAUAUUUAUGAUGUCCAUGUGGACACAUAUAUAUCAUUAAAAUAACUAUUAUAUAGUGCAGGGGUAAUAGAUUUUGCCCAAAGUUUGAAAUUGUUACAGUAAUUUCGGUUAAAGUUCAAAUAUAUUUCGAACUCUUUUUCUUAAAAAUAAUGAGUUACAAUCCAAUAUAAAAAUUAGGGUUGAAUAGACUCGUUUGUGAUUUUCGUUGUUGUUUUAUAUCUACAGACUACAACAGGCUUAUUAUUUCUGCAUUUUCCUUUCCAACACUGCCAACAUUCUUAUUUUUUUUUUUAAAAGUGUAUAAACUAUUUUGACGAAGCUAUUUUGAAGACACAUAGGUGAAAAUAAGUUUAAAUAAUAAUUUAAUAAAAACUUACUAAUAAGUCGGGCAACUUUUUUGCUUUAGUGACAUGCAACAUGACUAAUUAAAAAGAUACUUCUACUUAAUUAGUUUCAUAAUAACUAUCAUCUCAUGAGCUUCCCUUUUGUUUGUUUUGUCACAUUAAUAGUAUAAUGUAUUAAAACGCUAAUCAAAUUUAUAACUACUCAUGUUCAAAUUAAUUAGAAAUCCUUAAUACAAUUUUCCUCGAGAAAUAUGACUAUCGAUUUUUUUUUUCUUUUUUCCUUUUCUCAUCAAGAUGUAUAGAUCCUGUCUGUAGCCUACUUCCUUUUCUUUAGAUUAUUUGAUCAUUCUAUUUUGCUUGUUAAUUAGAGGCAAGUUUCAUGUCCCCUCUAAUCUUUAUAAGAAUUUUUACUUUUAUUGAUGAUGGCAUUUGAAAACAAAAAAAAAUUGUGUUACCCCUCUUUAAUUAUCUGAGAGGAUAUAAAAAUGAAACAAGGCACAAAGACUUGGUAUACAUGCAGUCAUUCCUGAAUUACCAAUUUAAGAAUGCAAUUUUACUCUUUUUAUCAUUGGAUAUAUGCUUUAGCACAAGUUGCCAAUUUUUCUUGCAACAUAUUUAUCAUUUUUACACGAGUACGUUAUGGGAAGAAGCUAGCUAAGCUAAGCUGUUAUUGAACAAAUAUUUAUCGGUUGUAUUACAGUCAUCAUUUCUGAAACACGUUUUCAAUAGGGACACGUGAAUGAUAACAUAAGGGCCCUACAUAUUUGUUUACAAUAAGUGUCUACGUUUUCUUUCUAAUAUAUACUCCCUUUUAUACUCUGGCACAAUUUGAAUUUUGAUAGUUAACAAUUUUAGUAUGACCGUGAAUUUUGACAUGAAAUAUUCAAGUUUUUAAAAUUUAAAUUUAUAUAUUUGAAAACUAAGUAAAAAAAUAUAUUAUAAGACACAAUAUUUGUCAAUUAAAAAUAUAUGAAAAAAUUACGAUCAAAUUAAAGAUAGAAUUGAUUGAAUCUCAAAAUUCAAAAGAUGCCACAUAAAUUGAAAUGAAAGUAUUACCAUUUUGUUGGAAAGUUCCUACAUAAGAAGUUUGAUGUAAAUUAUCUUGUGUUUUGAAGAAAUCUUAAAUGAUGGAACUUAGAAUCUAAUUUUAAAGCAUUAUCAGAAUUCAGAUCUGAUGAUUAUGAUUUUAGUGUUGAAUUGCUUAUUGCUUGGGAAUAUCUAUUGAUAGUGCAUCUGUGCCUCUAACACAUAGGUGAAAAUAAGUCUAAAUAAUUAGUUAACAAAAUGAAUCUUAACCAUUAAAUAAAUAAAGAUACAUGUGUUAAUCCAUCAAAGCCACACUGGACCAAAUGGAGGGAUGGACUACCGGAGGGGAGCCGAGUCCCAUUCACAUAUACUUCUACUUAAUUAUAACUACUAUCUUUCGUUUCCUUUUAACAUCAAUGGUACUCCCUCCAUUUUUUUUUAAAAAAGAAUGAAUUCUUUUGCUUUUUAGUUUGUUUUAAAAAAAACGAUAUUUUUUUUUAUAACAUUUUAUUUUCAACUUUUCACGUGGUAUGUUUAAGACCUCAAUAUUAAAGGACAAUAUUAUACAUUUAACAUAACUUUAAUUUAAGACCACAAGAUUCAAAAGUCAAUUUUAUUUUCUUAAAUUUCGUGUCAAGUCAAACUAGGUCACUCUAUUCGAGAGGGGAGGGGGGAAUAUAUUAUAUUUAAAUGCUAAUCAAAUUUACAGCUACUCAUGCUCAAAUUAACGAGAAAAUCGUACAAUCCUUAUACAAUUUUCCUCGAGAAAUUUAUCGAUCUAUUAAAAAACAUAUUAUUUUACCAUCAAAAUGUAUAAAUCAUGCUUACAGGUUAUUUUCUUUUUUUAGUUAAUCAAUCUCUUUUACUCGUUAGAAAUAAGCCCACUCUAAUCUUUUGUAAAAAAUUGUACUUAUAUGAUUGCCCCCACCCCAACCCCACACCAGAUCUUCCUUAUCUUUAUUCCCUUCGAGAUCUAUCAAUCAUUAAUGAAUAUUGUCUAAAUUUUAUUUUUAUUAUUUAUUUGGGUAUUACUUGCAUCAAAAUAUGUCAAAUAAGGUAAUCUUACUAUAAAUUCAUUAAAAUUGAUAAUACUAUUUUUUUUUUCAUCUAUUUCAUUUUAGAAUGACAUUAGCUUAUAUACCCAAUCAAUAUUUCUCAUUCUUCUUCUUGGGAUAAAAUUUAUAUUUGUAUGGUAAGUUUUUUUUUAUAUACAUUAAAUAACAACAAUAUUAUGAUUUUAAAAAGUAUAUGAAAAAUAGUAAUUUUACAUAAAUCUCAAAAAAGUGUACAACUACAAGUUAAAAAUUGUUUUAGAGAAGGAACCAAGUUACAGACUGUUUAAUAAAAUUGACUUCUUCUCACCAGAUACUCAUCACUCAACUCUACUCCAAUCUCCCUUGUAUUUGUAUGGUAAGCUUUCUCAACAGGUGAUACAUAUUUGUCUUGCCCAAUAAGAUCAUCUUCCAUUUCUUUGUUAGGAUUUUUUUUUAAGGGAAAAUUGAUUCUAGAAGUGUUAGUAGGCGUUUGGCCAUGCGAUAUCAUAUCACGAUAUAGAAUUGUGAGAUUAAAUCAACGUUUGGACAUGCAAUUUUACGUUGAUUCCAUAUUCUCCAAAAAUCAUGAUAGAUUUGAGAUAUUUUUAAUACAAAAAUUGAUCCACAAGUUUAUAUUCUGUGACAACAACCCCACAUUUAUAUCUACUAACCAUUUAUUUCAUAUGUAAAUACAAUUUAUAAUCACAUCAUUACUUUUUAAAAUUUAUUAUUCUCACCAACAUAUAGUCACUUUAACUGACACCAACCGAUUGUAGAGUAAUAAAUCUAUUCUCUUCAUUUACUUCAACACCUAAUUUAUUACUUCUACCGUUUUGUAUUUAAUACAACUCAAAGUAAUAAUGUUGGUUCGUCUUCUCGAUCGCAUGAUCGAGAAAUGCAAGUUCAACGUGAGGAAAUUGUUCGUACUAUGUGGGAGGAUUAUAUUAAAGACUAGUACACUACAAUUUAUGUUCAAUUUUUUAUUGAACUAAAGUUAGAUGAAACAGUUACCUAAGUGGAGAAUAAAUAGCUAUGUAAUAGUAAUUUAUUAUUCGGUUUUAUAAUUUUUUGUUUAUUUGGUAAGAUUGAAUAAACAAUUAGGGUUAUUUUAAUAAUUUUACAACUUAUGAGAUUCUUAUGUUUAUGAGAAUAUACAACACAAAAAUUUCAUAUCGCAUGUCCAAACAAAACUUCAAUUUCAUCUCAUAAAUCCAUAUUAUGAUAUCAUAUCAUGAUAUCAUAUCGCAUGGACGAGCAAAUAGAUUUGGAGUAAGAAACUCGCUUCUUUGAAUAUGCUUCUAGAGGAGGAGAGGAAGAAAAUUGUGCACAAAAUUAUUGUAUAUGCACUUUGUUGUUCUCUUCUUACUAGUACUAGUAGGACGUACCGUUGGCUUCUCAAAUUUUGUUACAUUCUACCUAUUUUUAAAUUUUUAAAUCAUAAUAUUUAGAAAUAUCUUUUUAAACGAAUUGAGAUAGAGAAAAUAUAUAAUUAUAUAAACUUAAAAUGUGAACUUAUAGUAGUACAUACAGAUAAAAAGGUAAAUAAAGAGGGAGAGAGUUCCACGAAAUAAGAAUAAUGAGUUUUGAAACAAAGAGACGUGGCCAAUUUUUGAACAUAUAUAAGUGGCAACUAUGAUAUCUCUCUCUCUAUAUAUAUAUAUCCAUUUGAAUAUGAUGUACAUGCAUGCAUUGAGUGGAAUUAUGUUCUUUUUAACCAUAUAGAAGUUUGCAACUAACUAAAACAUAGUCAGUACCCUAGACCCUAGUAAAUACAUAGGUCGACAAGCAAGGCAAAGUAUAUUGAAUUAACCUAAAUAUCAUAUCUGUGGAGAAAUAAAAAAGAACAAUAUAUAAAAAUCAAACAAAACAAAUAUUAAAUGACUUCAAAGUCACAUUAUAAACAAAUUGGCAGAUAAAUAAAAUUAAAACUAAAUUAAACAAUUAUCAUGUAAAUCUCCCAAUAUAUAGAAAGUUGAGUAAAAGCAUCAGCUAAAAGUUGAAGACUAAGACCGAUAAUUCUGCAUCCACUUUUCAGCUGGCUGGGAAAAAAUUAUGCCUUUCUGAAAAAAAUGAACUUACGGAAUACCCAAGCCGAGAGAUACAUCGCAAUGUUUUCAUUGUGUUUGAUUAAUUUGCUACUCUAGAUGCUCUCAACAGAGAUCUUUGUGGUAUAUCUUUUUGUUUGAUUUAAUUUCUUGCAAAAACAAAUUUUGCAUUAGAUGGGGCGAAUGGGCAGGUGGUCUCCUUGGAUAAACCUCUCUCAUGAGUUAGUUUUAGAGUUGAGUUAAGCCCAAGUGUCAUAUUUUUAUAUGGUAUUAGAGUUAGAUUCAUCCUGUUUGGACUCCCGAUCCACGUCCCAGUUAGGUCUGGGUGUGUGAAGGGGGUGUUAGAGUGGUAAAAGUCUCACAUUUAUUGGGGAAUAGAUUUCAUUAGCUAGAUAUAUUGUUACAAUGAUUAUUUUAUGGUUGAGUUCUUUUGAUUGUCAACAAGAACGAAGGUCUGUUGUUUACAUCAUUUUAGCCCAGCAGUAGUGCUCUACCAACCUGCGCGGAAUCAGAAUCUGGUUAGACAAUCUCUAAUCGGAGCAAUUUUAGACAUGUCUCAAUGCUUAGAGCUAAACCUGUUAGAAGUAGAGAGGAUAAGGCAUUCCUUUUUACAACACCGACUAAACAACGAAUUGUCUGCCAGAUAUGUACUAGUGAACUUGUACGUGUGGCAAUAAUAAAAGACGGUCAAAUUUCAAUAAUUACAUUAAGUAUAAUAUAGAUAGAAAAGGUUUUUACAAUCUCUCUCCAUAUAUAAAUACUUUCAAUAAAGUCAUAAUAUACUACUUUGAACAAAAAGACAUUACUCCUAUAAACUUACUAUUGUAAGAAAUUUAUAUAAAAUAUAAAAUAAAGAAAAAUCAAAAGAGUAUAUAAACCAAAUGCAACAUCUGUCUUAUUACCUUAUUAAAAAGUAGAAGAAAAAAAUACAAAAUUAAUACACAAUUUUUGGUAAGUUCUUAUUCUUAAAGUGAAAUUUUUUCUAUAUAAAUACAAAUGGAUCAAACAUCAAAACAAAUAUGAAUAUUCAAUGAAAAAAAGCUAACUCAAUUAUUGAUCCAUCUAAAAACUGUAUCUUAUUUCUCGUUGAGAAUUUUGAAAAAAAAAUAAAAUUGACUUGAUCAUACAUGAGCUAAGGUAAUACUAAAUAAGUAAUUUUAGAGAAAUAAAUCUUUAUGUAUAAACGAAUCCUCUUUGGUGAUCACCAUGAUAUAUAGAAAACAAUUUAAAUGGUCCUUUGAAUGUCCUAAAUCCAAAAGAAAAACCCUUACUGUACAUGAGUAGCACGUCACCAAUCGCAAACAUAUAUUUCGGUAUGAUAUAAUAUAGACAGGCCACUCUUUCUUGUAUAGUAAAUAAUUGAGUCAAAAAUUCCUUAAUAUCAUAAUUUUUUAUUACUCAUAACUUAAAAGUGCUCCCCUCUAUAUGUUGGCAAGUAUAAUAAGCACAAAGCAUUUCAUGUAUUACUGAAACGACACAUUUUAUAAGCCUCAUAUAUAUUGGGAAUAUUGCAAAUUUCAUGUGGCAACGAUAUCUCUCUGUACACCUCAUUUGAUAUAUUAAAUGAAAUCACAAAAUAGUUGGAUAAAUCAUCCAUCCAAUGAAAUGCACCACGAACAAAUGCUAAAGAGUCGUCAGGACGUAGACCAUUGUGAAAGGCACAAGGAUGUUUGUCAAAUUUUUCUCCAAGAAUCACUCUUUAGCGCGAGGAUAUUACUGCAUGGUCUAAAAUCAUUACCACCAUCAUCGUUGUCAAUCUUAAGAAUCUUAUAGUCAUCACUAAUCAAGUCAUAUCCAAAUCCGUAAGUGCAAAAGAAUGCCUCUUCGUAUGUGUGUCGAAAUUCAGGAUUAGGAAGUAGCAUUGAUUCAUUUGUGGAACGGUUCCACAGUAAAUAGCCAUCACGAUACAAAACAAGAGACAAACCAUCACAGCAACAUAUUAUUUCGUAGCGCCUCUUUGGAUAAUAAUUUAAAGGGAAACCACUAAACUUUUGUAAUGGUUGAGCCGAUGAUUAAAAAAGAACAAUAACAUGAAAUCGUACCAGAAUGUAGUCGCGCAAUAAGAAUUUUUUUUUCUUCUUAGCAUGAUUGAAAUGCUUUGCUUUAACGUAAUUCGAGGUGAUCAAUGUAUUCUAAGAUUUUGAUGCACAUUUAAAUCGAAGAAGAGACUGGACAGAUAAUCUGAUGAGGAUUUCCACAAUUAUUUCUUCUAAGAAGUGAAUUUUCAUGGCCUAGAUAGAACAAUUAAACCAAAUUAUUUGCUAUAAACAAAUAACGAAAGAAAAUUAACUUAAAACAAGAAAUAAUAACGUGUGCAUAAUAAAACUCACCCCAUCAACAUCCAUUUGAUUUAUCUCUAUGUAAUAUUUGUUUCCAUAACUCAAACUUGUGAAUCUCGUUCAAUUGUCAAACAAGAACAAAAAAAAAUUAAAAAUUAAAACAAUACUUCACAACAACCUUUAAGAUCUGGAAAAAUCUGCUUCUCCCUUUUUGAUGAAGUAUAAGGAAAGAGUUGAAGGUCAUAAUUGAUUUGAAAAGAGCUUUUCCAUCUUUAGAGCUUUCCCUUUCUCUAUUUGCUCUGAUUAUUGAUGUGGCUAAGAAACACAAUUUCACGUGAGAAAGAAUUGUGUUUUAUGGAGAGUUAUAUAUAUGAUAAGACCUUUGUACCCGUAAUGACAGGAUCAGAAUUUUUCAUUAAGGAAUUUAAAAUAUAUACGAAAAAAAUAAAGAGGUUUAAAUCUGCUAUAUAUAAAUAGAAAAAAAAAAGCAUUUAGCAUUGUGUAAAACUUAUUAUAAGGAGAAAAAGAACAAAAAGGUAACAAAAUAGAAAGAAACACACACUUAAAUGAAGAGACAAAUAGACUGAUGUCUGCUCAUGAAGAAGCAUUAGAAUGAUUAAUUGAUCUUCUGUUCUUUGAUAAUCUAAGUUACACAAUCUCACUAUACAUGAUGUAGUCUGUAGAUAUCAGAGAAACAAAUCUCUAUACCUGCCCAAAAAUGAUCUAAUAGAUAUACAUGAUACAUAAACUAGGAAUAACUACUCCUAUUUGCUUGCCAGAACUUCAUCUAGUUAAAAAGAUUCCGCUGAUCAAUCUGUUUCAGAGCAGCCAUAUGGUGAACUCAUCAGAUCAUCUGCUUUCUCAUCGAACAUCCUAACUUCUGUUUCUUUAUCAAAUACCUGGUUUCCCUUUUUCCCUCGUUCUGCCCUGGACGACACUGUUUUGUGCUUUAUACCAACAGCUUCAGCUUGAUCUGCGAAUAAUUUCUUUGAGAUGGAUGAACUGCAUAUUUGUUGAUAGACAUCGUAGGUAGCUGCGUGAGUGUUUUCUCCGUUCAGAAUAUUUGAAAGAGGAUGCAACACGGAAAUUGGAUCACUGUCCUACUUAGAGUUUCCUUCAAUUCUAGAAACAUAGAAACCAGUUCUGGCUUGCUAAACUGAAUAAAGACAGCGCUUUCAUCCAAAUGGUAGACUGAGAAAACAGAAUUUGGGCCAAAGGCUUGUGCUAGAAUUCCUCUUUUAGCAUUUAUAGAUAGGGCACCAUUUCUUAGUUCUAGCCCGCUUCACACAUUCAUGCAUUCAAGACUUUAAGUAACAAGGAGAGACACUUUAGUCUACCAACCAAGUCACUUAUCAUCUAAGGAUACUUCAUAAUCCAACAUCAUUUAUUAUAUACAUCAUGAGAAGUCAUACUUUAAAUCACAAUGCUAUACACUUUACAUAGGAUCAUCAUAAGAUCACAUAAACUCAUUCACAUCAUGCCUUCACAUAUAGCUUCACAUAAAACUUUACAUAUAGCUUCGUAUAGGACUUUACAUAUAGUCUCAUUUAUAUAUAAUAACACAACAAUACAACAAUACUCAUACAAUACCCUUCAUGGCCACAAUCAUAAUUCCAAAGCAACAAGCAACACUUCCACUAAAGGUGGAUCCAACCUAAGAAGCAAUUAUAGCAAUAUUAAGAGAUCAAGCCAUCUUACCAUUCUCCAAAGCCAUAACCAACAUUAUUCAUAAAAUAGGUCAACUUACCAUCCUUUCCAAGCCACAAUCACCAUCCUUAAUUCUCCAUAAUAUAUCAAUAGAAUAACAUAGAUAAUAGUAGAAUUUAGCUAUACAAUACAAGCUAAACAUAAUCUAAUAAUCAACAUAAGAACCGAUUCACUAUUUGCCCAUGCAAGGCUCAAAUCUCUUAUCCUUCAAUUCAACAUCAAUUCUUCACAAUUCAACAUAUAUAAUACCAUAUAUGAACAGCCCAUACCAUACUAAACACAAUUCUAUAAUCAUUUACUCAAAAUCAAUACACCCACUUUAUGGUGAAAUUUAGAGAAUUUAACAUGGGUUCAUGGAGAUUUCUUUCAAAAAAAAAUAUUAAUAAUCAUUAAUAACAAUACAAAUCAUCAUUUAAAACCUUUUUAUGCAAGAACCCAUGCUAGAAUCGAAAUUAGGACUUUAGGGUUUUUGAAGAACUUUGAAACUACUUUGAAUUGGCUCUUUGAUUAAAAACGGAAUCAAAGAUAAAGAAUCCCCAUACCUUAAUAUUGAGAAAGCCCAAGAAAAUCGAUGAAAGAAGCCUCCAAUUUGAAACCCUAGUUCUUCACCCUUCUUCUUCCCUUGAAACUUGAGAGAAAUACUUGAGAGAGGGAAUGAUUUUAGGAAAUUCUAAUUUGAAGAAUGUAAGUUAUAACCCUCAAUUUAAAUGAAUCUAAUAUACCUAAAAUAAUAAAACAACUUAAAAAUAAAUGCCCAAACUACCCCUCACUUAGUUGGACCCUCUUUUUUUUUUUUAACUAGUUAUUAAUGCAUAAAACCCAUGUGAGGCUUUACUUUAUCCUACUUCAUUUUGAGGGGCGUUACAGAUAUAUACCAUAAACAGAAAAUGACACUUAUAAAACUUGUUUUCCCUACAUUUAUCAAGAAAGUCAUAUGAUAUUCCAUAAUUUUAAGAAACUUAUUUUCCUAAAGAAACUAUUUUUCAAAAUUUUUGUUCAACGUAACUAAACAUGAAAAAGAAAAUAUAUAGUAUAUUUUUUGAAAAAUAUUUUCCUCUCUAUCAAACACACCCUAAGACCACACUUAGUUUAGUUGCUUUAGGAAGUUUCCAUCAAGUUAGAAUAAUCUGUAGUCAGUAUUGAUUUAAGAAGAAUUAUAUUGAACUAAAUUAAUGUCUUUGUGGAAUUAAUGGAUGGUUCAGAUUGAUUUGCUUUGCCCAUCUUCUUUCUCUCACCGUAGCCUCUCUUAUACCCCCGAAUUAAUUGACUUCUCCAAAAACAUCCAACACUCCCCAAAAGGCCAAAACUUUUUUAAGUUCUCUCUGUUAACCUAGCUCAUUUCCUAAUUGAAAAUUCAAAGUAAAAAAGAAAAAAAUGUCUGGGCAGUGCUCAUUGUGUUCUGAUGUUUUUGGUUUAGUAUGUAGUGGUGGUGAUAAUUGUUUUUUUUUAAAUAUGGGCUAAGAGAGAAGAUGAUGGAGGAUACUGAAUAUUUCGUCAGCUUCAAAAAUCUCAUAGACAAAGUUUACCAUCGCUCUAUGGAUCUGUUUCAAUUCCAUAAUCAACUAACUUGUCAUAUCAAGUAAUUAAUAGCUUGAAACUUUUUAGUAUUACUCCUCUUUUUUUUCUUUUAAAUUUCUAAUGUAACUUCUUCUUCUUUUUUUGGAUCAUUUUAAACAGUAGCCAUAUAAUGGGAGCGGAGGUAGCUGCUAAGAUUGCUGAAUCACAAUUUUCUGCCGCCCAGGCUGCAGCUUCUGCCGCCCAGGCUGCAGCUUCUGCAGUCCAUGCCGCAGCUUCUGUGGUUCAGGCCGCGGCUUCUGCGGAUCAGGUUGCGGCUCAAGCCUCUGCUACCAUCGCAGAUCAAGAUGCAGCUACUGUUGGAGCUGAUGAGGUGGUCAAUGAAAGCGCUGGUAUCAGGUUUUGGAAUAAGACCAAGGCCUGUUUAGGUCAUGCUAUUCGUUUGUUGGCGAUAUGUAGUGUUGUAGCUGGGGAAUGUGCAUAGGCGUGGUUACUGGUGUUUUUCAUGUGGGUUAUGGAGGCACCACUCGUGCAGCUUUGUCAAGGAAGGAGGUCACUGCUAAUUAAUGCUUAUAUUAUAAAUAAUUGGCCUGCUGUUUUAAUUUGUUGUUGCGAUAUAAGUAAACAUUUUCAUGGAUCCUAAUGUUUUGAAUUUAGAUGGUGUUAGCCCAUCUUUCAGCAGUAGUGCUCUACCAACCUGCGCGGAAUCAGAAUCUGGUUAGACAAUCUCUAAUCGGAGCAAUUUUAGACAUGUCUCGAUGCUUAGAGCUAAACCUGUUAGAAGUAAAGAGGAUAAGGCAUUCCUUUUUACAACACUGACUAAACAACAAAUGAAAUAGAUCACUAUUCAAGUAGUGUGUCCAGAACUAUACUAUUCCAGCAGCUUAGAUUGUGUCUCGUAGCUAGGUUGAAUUACAUGAAAUAAUGAAAGCAAUAGCUUUCGAUCGAGUUUGAUCAAUCUCUUUUAGCACGUUAAUAGCAAAAAGGUUCACAUCCCCUCUAUCUUUUGUAAGAAUUUUUACUUACAUAUCACAUGGUAGGUCCAGCAAAAACCCUAUUGAUGAUGGCAUUUAAAAACAAAAAAUUGUGUUACCUCUCUUUAAUUAUCUGAGAGGAUAUAAAAAUGAAACAAGGCAAAAAGAUCAUUCCUGAAUUACCAAAGGAACAAUUUAAAAAUCAAUAUUUCUCAUGGCUAUGAGGCAUAUAUUCCACAACCCUAACGUUAACGUUAAUAAAUAAGAUACUUUCCGGAGGAACUUUAUUGACUUUGAGACUUGUGAGAUGAGACUAGGUCAUUAAUACUCUUUAAAGAGCUACUAAUAUAUUAUUUCCUAAACAUCAAAAAACUAUCUUCUCUGUGAAUCUAGCUCAUUUCCUCAUUGAAAAUUCAAAGAAAAAAAUGUCUGGGCAGUGCUCAUUGUGUUCUGAUGGUUUUGGUUUAAUAUGUAGUGGUGGUGAUAAUUGUUCUUUUUUUUUUUGAAUGGAUACAUCGUAAUGUUUUGAUUUCAAUUUUCAUUUUGUUUGAUUAAUUUGUUCCACUAGAUGCACUUGACAAAGAGAUAUUUGUGGUAUAUCUUUGAAUUCUUUUUUCUUUCUUUUUUGCUCCUUAUCAUACAGUAAAAUGAUAGAAAAUUGACAAAAACAAAUUUUGCAUCAGAUAGGUAGAUAUGAAUGAAAUAAUACUUGGGAACCGUGGUUUUUUUUAUUUUUUUUAUUUUUAAAACCAUCACUUUUGUUUACAAAGAAAAUUCACUUGUUGCAUCUUCUCCUCACGGAAGGAAAUUUUCACUUGUCCAGUUGAGUCAGACAGACAAUUGUACAUUCAGUAAUUAGGAAGACAUAUAUAGGAAUGACGGCAAAAGGGUAAUGAUCAGCUUGAGUCGAGUCACAAAAAAGGGUUUGAUGAGCUUGAGUCGAUUAUUUUCAAGAUCGAAUUUCAGCUUCUUCUUCUUAUGUAGUGUCUUAUUAUUUUGCCUUUGAACUUUUAUCAUUUUAUUCCACCUGCCUAAUGAUUUUCACCAUGCCAUGCUAAAACAUCAACUACUCCCUCGGUUCUAAUUUAUGUGACUUACUUUUUUUUUUUAGUCAGUCCCAAAAAAAUGACAUAUUUCUAUAUUAAGUAACAAUUUAACUAUAAAUUAUCUAUUUUACCUUUAAUGAAAUGAUUUACCGUCACACAAAUUUUCAUCAUUCAUUUUGAACUACAAAUUUUAAAAGUCUUUAUUUCUUUCUUAAAUUUCGUGUCGAAUCAAAUUACAGUCAUAAAAUGAGACGGAGGGUCCUCCAAAUCAGAUUCAUAUGCUAAGGAGUAAAGCUAAAACUUCCACUUGAAAUAAUCUUUUUGUUUUGUUGCACCCUCCAAUACAUUAGAAGUGUACCCUCCGUGUGACCGUGAUUCACGGUUGGGUCCAAUCAGUAUCCCACUUCAUUGUUUUUAGGGAAAAUGACCUGAUUUAUUCCUAAACUUUAUGAUUUGGAGUUGAUAUAUCCUCCGUUUAAAAAGUGACUCAUAUAUGUCCUUGUUGUUAUAGAAAUGGCUCAUAUAUACUCUUUUACUUAACAGACCAAUAUUUAAUAAAUAAAAAAUUAACAGACCAAUAUUUAAUAAAUAAAAAAAUCAUUUUUUUUGUCUUUAAUUUGAGAAAAUGCCAUGUGGCUUUUAAAAUACCCCACUCAAUAACUUUUCGCCAUGCCCACCUAACCCAAUUAGAAACAAAAUCACCCACCCAUUUAAAUAAACCAAACCCAUUUCAUUCCAUUUCUUGAUGAAAAUCUCAAGAAGACCAGCAAGCUUGGCAGUAUCAUGAGCUCCAUUGACAAGGAAAGUUUAAGUUUUUUCAUCAAAAUUUUAUAGUGUAAGAUGUUGGCCUUGCUAGAGCUUUGGCAAUACCUGUAGAAAGCAUCAUCACUGUUGGCGGCUCCAAUAUUCUGCAAAAACCAUUUUUUAUUCAAUAAAAUUUACUAAAGGUGAAUCUAUGGCACAUGACACAAACGAAUAGGAAAGACAGAGGAAGAUAGGCGAGCUCACACACACAAAACAAUGUAUUUCAGUUCAAUUUGAACGGUUAAAAUAAUUUAUCGCCAUUAAAAAUCAGUUUUAGUAGAAACUUGCUUGUUCACCAAUUUCUUUUGGGACGAUUAAAAAAAUUAAGCAAUUUGUAAGAAAAAAAGGUACCAAUUUCUUCAGAAAAUUUAGAAAGCUAAUAGAUCAAAAUACUACCUAUUGUAAGCUUUAAAUGGGAUGGGGUUUUGUUUCCAAUUGGGGAGACAAUGGAAUGAAAUGGGUUUGGUUUAUUUAAAUGGGUGGGGGGUUUUGUUUCCAUUUGGCAUUUUCUUAAAUUAAAGACAAAAAAAAUAAAAUUUUAAUUUAUUAAAUAUUGAUUUGUUAAGUAAAAGGGCAUAUAUGAGUCAUUGUUAUAACGACAAGGGCAAAUAUGAGUCACUUUUUAAAUGGAGGAUAUAUCAGCUCCAAAUCAUAAAGUUCAGGGGUAAAUUCGGCCUUUUUCUCUUGUUUUUAUUACUUCUCUCUCCCUAAUUUCUUGUCCAUUUUUUUUUUCUUUUUUAGUUAUCUUUAAUUACUUGUUCAUUUCUACAAAUCAAGAAAGGAUAAAAAAUAAUUACCUAUUAUAUCAUCAAUUAAUUACUUUGAAAAAGAUAAUUUUUUUUGAAAAUCUUAAGUUUUUAAUUCAUCCAUUUCAUAAUUAAUAGGAAUAAAAUGAUAAACUCUCUAUGUCAAUCAUUGUUUCUUAAUAAAUGUGUCAAUUAAAAAAUGGACAAAUAACGAAGGACCAAAAAAGUAUUUGAUUUUUUAAUUUAAAAAGGAAUAUAGAGUCAUGAUUAUUCGGUAAUUAAACUCCUACUCAAGUUUGGAUUCUGACAAUACAGAUGUGGCCUCAUAAUAAAGCCAAGAGAAAGCUUGGAAGUAGCUUCAGAAUAUGAGUGCCGCAAAGAGUGGCGGAUCUUUUUUGCUUUCAAUAGACUUAUCGAUUAACAAUUAUAACAAAUAAAAAAAAAAUAUGUCAGCUGUUUUUUCUUAAAAAAACGUGUUUGGAGCUUUUUCUUUUUCUUAAAAAUCGUCUGCAGUAAAUUCUUCAAAAAAAUAGGUAUAAAUGAAAUUCAAACCCGCAACAUCAGCCUUCUAAAGUUGUCCUCUUACCGUGGCACCACAAACCAAUUUUGUCCUCUAGAUAACACGCUUUAUAUUUAUAUAAAUAUUAUUAUAUAUAGAAUUUCUAUCGAAGUUCGGGAAUGACGUGACCACACCCCUUCAUAGAUCCCCCUGGCUGCAAAGGUAAAACAGACUUCUUUGAUGUGACUUCAUUAAGAGAGAGACACAGAAUCUUUCAGAAAAAGGGCUAAGUCAUAACAACAUUGUCACAAAUGUGACUUCUAGCCGACAGAAACACGCAGCUGCUGUAUGUACAGGUAAAUUUUCCUUCUUUUCUUUUACAGCAAAAUUUGGAACUAUUUUCAUUAUAAAAAAGGUAAAAAGAUAAAAGAAGAUUUGUAACAAUCUUGAUGCUCUGUAGUGGCAGGACUGCUUGUUAGUAUCAAAUGGUAUCCGUCUUGGUUGAACUUAGCAGAGUAGGAUAUUGAUACAAGUAAAUUAAGUUCUGUUAACUUGGUAUUUACACAAUUAAUUUUGGUGGUGUUUUGCAUCGAUAAAUUUGGUAUAUAUUUGUUAUUUUUUUAUACUUUUGUUAUUUGAAAUAUAUAAUAUUUCAUCCGUUUAAAAAUGCGUGGUCUAAUUUGAUUUAAUAUAGAGUUUGAUUGGGCGAUACAUUUUAUGAUUCUAAAUUAAAAUUAUGUCAUACUAUAAUGUCCUUUAAUCUUGUGACUUUCAGCAUAUCAUGCGCAAAACUAAAAUUAAAGUGUUAGCAAAAAAAAGAUCUUAUAAAAGGAAGAAUAACAAAGAAGAAACUAUAUUAUGGGAAUGAAAUUCAAAAAUUGAAAAAGGAAAAGGGGUGAGUCUACUCUUUCCCAAAGAAAACAAAAAGCUGCAUCCACUUGAAUAAUACUGAAAAUUAAAAGACAAUAUAUAACAUUGGGAUCACCAAAAGAAAAGAGUAUUACUUUGAAAAAAAUAUUGUACUGUUUUACUUUUUCUUUAUGUUGGGUUUAGCAAGGUGUGAAUGAGAAAUAAGAAGAGAAAAUGGAAAGUGGGAGAACUAAUUUUGGAAGGAAAGUGAAAAGUCAUUGCAAAAUGCAAAUGAAAUGUCAUUUUUACCAUAUUGAUAGAAGAAAGGAAAUUGUUGUCCUUAUAUUAGAAAACACUUCCUUUAGCUCUUAAAGGGUUAUGAAGAAGGUGCCCCUCGCCCCGUCGUCGUCGCUCGCUUGACUUCGGCUUCGAAUUUGAGUAAGAAUGAAACUACGUCACAUAAAAUGAGACGGAAGGAGAUUGAUAUGACUCCACUUGAAAUAAUCUUUUUGUUUUUUAAUGAACCAUCGCGCUUCACUUUUGGAAGAGGACAGACAAACUGAUCAAAGUAGAUACCAAAGCGAUGAUUACAUCGAGUCAGACUGUGUGUUCAUUUAUUAGCAAAGAGGCAACUUCACAUGCCUGUAAGUCACAUGAUUAUUCUGUAAUUGAACUAUCCUACUCAAUUAAAGUCUACCUGUUACCUUAAAAGGAUUAAAUUCAUAUUACAACAAAGUAAAAUUUUAAGUAUUAACUAAUGAGAGCUCAUAUUUGAUUUAGAUAUUUAUAUUUAAUAUUUUUAGUGUUGUACAACGUAUUAGUGAAUAGUGACCAAAUCAAGUACGAUACUAUAUCAAAGUAACAAUUAAUUGUGAUUGAAACUUUCAUUAACAUUUAAAUUAAGAUGAUAUUAAUACACUUCCAUGCAGUUUUUAAAUUCCAAGUUUGUCUGUGAUUUGAGUCACCGCAAUAUAGUCUUCAUGAUCAAAUCUAGUCUAAAUAGAUAACAAUUAUUUUUAAAAGAAAAUUGUUUAUGACAAGAACUUCAUUUGUUGUAACAAUAAUAUUUGAGGAAGACAUUAAAACUUACUACUUAGACAUUUAUUUUAAUGCUAUAAAUGUAUUCAUUUCCCAUACAUAGAUAAAAUUGUCAAAAUAGAAAUUUGUUUAAUAAAGUAGUCAGUACUAAUCAUAUUUAGAUCAUUGUGGCUAAAAUUAUUCGAUCUCCACAAGGUAUGCACCAAAGCGAUGAUUACAUCGAGUCAGACUGUGUGUUCAUUUAUUAGCAAAGAGGCAACUUCACAUGCCUGUAAGUCACAUGAUUAUUCUGUAAUUGAACUAUCCUACUCAAUUAAAGUCUACCUGUUACCUUAAAAGGAUUAAAUUCAUAUUACAACAAAGUAAAAUUUUAAGUAUUAACUAAUGAGAGCUCAUAUUUGAUUUAGAUAUUUAUAUUUAAUAUUUUUAGUGUUGUACAACGUAUUAGUGAAUAGUGACCAAAUCAAGUACGAUACUAUAUCAAAGUAACAAUUAAUUGUGAUUGAAACUUUCGUUAACAUUUAAAUUAAGAUGAUAUUAAUACACUUGCAUGCGGUCUUUAAAUCCUAAGUUUGUCUGUGAUUUGAGUCACCGCAGUAUAGUCUUCAUGAUCAAAUCUAGUCUAAAUAGAUAACAAUUAUUUUUAAAAAAAAAUUGUUUAUGACAAGAACUUCAUUUGUUGUAACAAUAAUAUUUGAGGAAGACAUUAAAACUUACUACUUAUACAUUUAUUUUAAUGCUAUAAAUGUAUUCAUUUCCCAUACAUAGAUAAAAUUGUCAAAAUAGAAAUUUGUUUAAUAAAGUAGUCAGUACUAAUCAUAUUUAGAUCAUUGUGGCUAAAAUUAUUCGAUCUCCACAAGGUAUGCCACAUCCACACAAAGUGUCUAAAUACUCAAAGUAUUCUUUCAAUAGGUAAAAACUCUAAUUAAGAUGAUUAAGUAAAUUACGUGAACAAUUUUAUAUCGAUAUAUAAUAUCUUCGUAAAUGUGAGACAAAGGAAAGUAAGAGAGUGAGUGAGUGAGUGAAAGAAACACCAAAAGAAAAGUGUGAAUUACAUGGGAAUUUUUCUGGGAUUAUGUAUGAAAAUUCGCAGGAAAAUAAGUUUUCUACGGAUUUUCCUAUAAAAAAGAAUCCGAAGGUAAAACCUUCGUAGGUAAUUAUUUCAUGCAAAUUUAAAAAUCCCCAAUUAAUUUACCUAGAGAUUUAAAUUCCGCAAGUAAAUUACUUGUGAAUUUUCUUGCAAAAAAUACAAAAGAUAAAAAUGAAUUUUCUUACCAAUUUAUUCGCAAGUAAUGUCGCAAAAAGAUACUCAAAUAAAUUUCUUUAAACAAUAUUAAUUAUUAUCUCCUAUUUGUUUAUUUUAUUAUUUNNNNNNNNNNNNNNNNNNNCCCCCUUCCCUCCCUCCCUAUUUACCUACCUAUCCAUAUUUUCCACACAACUAUCCACCCAUUGCACAAUUUCAUAAGUGCCCAAUCCCCCAUGAGAUCAAAUUUAAUUGCCCUCCUAAUGCCAACUCCCCAUGAGAUUUCAUAUAAGGGAUAGCUUAUAUGUAUUAAUAUAAGGGAACAUGUCAAAGAACAAUAAAUAACGAUAACCAAAAGCUCAAACAGUACACUCGAAUUUUCUAUGCCAAUUAUAUUUAAAUAUUUAAUAUAUAAUUUUAUUACUCAUCUCUCGGAGUAUGCCUUGACUUAAAAAGUAAUUUUAAAAUCAAAAAUAAAAAGUCCAACUUGAAUUACUUUUAAGUUAAAAAUGUAAAAGUAUAGGAAAACCUAAUUUUGAUUUUUUUUAAAACUUAUUUUAAGUUGUUUUUAUCUUCUCAAACACUUUUUAACUUAUUUUUAGUUAUUUUUUUUAUAUUUGUCAAACACUUUCAGAAGUUAAAAACUGACUCUAAAAUAGGUUUGGCCAACUUUUAAACCAAUCCAAACACCCUCUAAUUACUUUGUAAUUUUUCACAAUCUAAUGAUUGCUUGAUAGAGUGUAUAAAAAAUAAUGCUAAAUAAAGCUUAUUAGUAAUAUUUGCAUUAGUAAUGCUUGUAUUAGAUACACAUAGAUUAUUUCUAAUGCAUUGUUUGGUUUGGUGUAUUAAAAAUUACAUGUAUUGUACAAAAAUAUUUAUUUACCAAAAUAUCCUCCAAAAUUAUGAUGAAAAGAUGUAAAUAUGCUUUCGAAAGGAAGUUUUAUCUUUAAAAUGCUAAUGCUUGCAUUAAAUUCCUUUGUAUUACUAAUACCUAAAAAUCCAUAAUAUUACUAAUACACUCCUUAAUAUAUAAUAGAAUGCAUAACUAAUACAAAUAGAGUAGUAGUUAUACCUAAUAUUAAAAGGUGCACCAAAUAAAAUAAUACAUAGUGAUUCGGUAAAUGUGAGACAAAGGAAAGUAGGAGAUCAGUGAGUGAAAGAAAGAAGAAAUGGCUGAUAAAGAUUAAAGAGUAAAAAACAGAAAAUAAAAAUGGUAACAAAAUAAUACAUGAAAGAUAAGACAGAUAGGAUAAUGGAACAAGACAUUGAUUUUAUAUGAUAAAUUUAUUCACUAGUAAAUAUAUAAAAUCGUUCAUAAACUUGGCAAUCAAAUUCACUUUAUCACUUACAUUUUGCAGACGUUUAAAUACUCCUUAUUUUAGUUUAGAAUUGAUUAUUUUUUUAAAAUAAAAUUACCUAAUAUAGCUAGAUUCUAAUAUAUUAUUAUUAAGAAAAAAAGGGGGGUUGAAGACUUGCCUCCAUUGCAACACCAUUAUAACAUGGUUGAAAAGUAAAUUAACACACCAUUAAAUGACGUGACAGACAAAUGUUAGUAGUGUUUAUAUACUAUUUCUGAUUGGGCAAGUAAUAUUUUAUAAGGAGAGAGAAAGAAAAAAGCAAAAAAAAAAAAGAAAAAAAAAGAGGAAAUGUUUCAAAUUUCAAACUCAUGACCAUCUAGUACAAUGAACUCAACUUGAUCAUUAAGCUAUCAUAUUAUUCACAUCCAUACUCAAUUAUUAGUUGAAGUAAAAAAAUGACUUUUCAUAAGUAACAGAGUAUUAACAUUUUUUGUUAUAGUGUUGAUGUUCUAAUAUCAUUAUACUUUCAUUAAUAGUAUCAAUGGUGUUUUGAUUUUUUACUCUUAAUUUAAUUAUUUUGAAUAUUUAAGAUUUGUAAAAUACAUACAAAUUAAAUUAAUAAAUAUAUGUUUGUUUUAUUUGAUGAAAGAAAUUUUUUUUAAAUACCUUAAAUUUCUUAAAAUAUUGUUUUUUUAUUACUUUCAAAUUUGAAUAUUAGCAGAAAUUAAAUCUAAAAUUUAAUAAAAUUUUUGUAUCGCGCGAAGUACGGACAAAGAAUCUAUUUAAUAUACUUUCUAAUAUAAAUCUCAAAAGCACGUAAAAGUACACCAAACUUAAAGCACGUAAAAGUACACCAAUUGUAGAUAUCCAAACAGAAAAUAUAAACUAAAUCAUAUGAAAAGCAAUAACUAAAAUGGAACGAAAAUUGUUAAUUCCUACUUAAUUUUAAACCUAAAUAUUAUACAUGUAAUUAAUAAUUUAUAUUGAUUUUUUGGUUUUUAUUUUUUUAAAAUUCGAAACCCCAAAAAACCAAAUAAUGCACGCCUCUACGUCAUGAUAUCGUCUAAUAUAAUUUCAACAUGAAGGCAAAGUUAUAAUAUCGUUUUUUUGUUAUUUUACAGUACAUACAGCCGCUAAAUCUGUAAAAACUGACACAAUAUAUUUUGCUCAUGGUAGUGAAAGUAUAAAAACUAGUUUGUUUUUAAAUUUCACUUUUUAAUAGCAGAUAACUACAAAGAUGGAAGCUAGUGUAGUGAGUUGAUAAAGUCCAGUAUCCAUUCAAAACAAGCAAACAACAAUAAAAAUAAAAAUGAGAGUCCUUGAAUAAGAUAUUUGUGGAAGCUAAAAACAUAUAAUUCAUCCAAUUAGUUAGUGAAUAAGCAUUUCUAAAUGAGAAGAGAAGAAAAAGGGAAGUAAAAAAUAAAAUCGUAAGGAAAUAACCAUGGGGUAUUUGUCUUGAGUUUUUCUUAAUUAUAAUUGGAUUUAUUUUUGCUAAAAAGAAAAACACAAACUCUUCAUAUUUGGCUAGUCAUUUUUUUUAGGAAAAUGAAUCUAUAAAUAGAGGUUCAUUCUUUCUAACUUGAUAGUAUUCACAAUGUAGCCCUAUGGUGCUUUGAGAGCUUUAUGUACGAAAGGAAGAAAUAGUGAGAUAACACUUGUGUGAACCUCUUUUUAUUUCAAGUGAAUUAUGUAAGGUUAUUUCUCUCGAUAGUUUGUACUCUCAUAUUUAUAUAGUUUAAUGAAUUGUCUAUCUCCUUUUAUGAACGUAGGCCGAUUGAUCGAAUCACGUUAAUUAUAUUUUAUCUCUUUUUAAUAUAUUUUUUAUUUAUUUUCUUACUCAUAAUUUUUCAAAAUUUAUUUUGUUAGCUUUCGCAUAAUACCUAAUUAUUUCAAUCCUAAUAACAAUAUGAUUAUGAACGGGGGAUGGGAUUUCGUGUCAAUAUAAACUUAAGACAUAUUAGAUGCACCAAUAUAAGCAGGGAACUAAAUAGAACACUUUGGAAUUGUGAAGACUACACAUAGGGUGUGUUUGGUACGAAGGAAAAUGUUUUCCAUGAAAAUUUAAUAUUUUCUUAAAAAAUGUUUUCCUGGAAAUAGAUAAAUUUUUGACUUAUUUUUUCAUGUUUGAUUGGUGAGUAGAAAAUAUUUUCUGGAAAAGAUUUUUAGUGUUUGAUUUAUGAAUGAAAAACGUUUUUGAGAAACAUCUUUUAUUUUUACUAGAGUAGAAAAUGUUUUUUAAAAAAUAAACUUAAAUUUUUUUUGGGGUGGGGAGAGGGGUCNNNNNNNNNNNNNNNNNNNNNNNNNNNNNNNNNNNNNNNNNNNNNNNNNNNNNNNNNNNNNNNNNNNNNNNNNNNNNNNNNNNNNNNNNNNNNNNNNNNNNNNNNNNNNNNNNNNNNNNNNNNNNNNNNNNNNNNNNNNNNNNNNNNNNNNNNNNNNNNNNNNNNNNNNNNNNNNNNNNNNNNNNNNNNNNNNNNNNNNNNNNNNNNNNNNNNNNNNNNNNNNNNNNNNNNNNNNNNNNNNNNNNNNNNNNNNNNNNNNNNNNNNNNNNNNNNNNNNNNNNNNNNNNNNNNNNNNNNNNNNNNNNNNNNNNNNNNNNNNNNNNNNNNNNNNNNGGGUGGGGUAAAAAAAUUGAAUUUAAAAACAAGCUUUAAAUUUUAUUUUUUUGGGGGGUUUGGUUGGGGGGCUGGUUUGAGGGUAGGGACAAAAUAAAUUGAUUUUUUCAACAAAAAAAAAUUGUAAUUUAAACUUGGAGAGGAAUUUUGGAAAAUGUUUUCCUUAAGUUUUGAAGGGAAGUCAUUUUUCUUAAAUUUGAGGAAAAUGAGUUGAUUUCCAAAACAUUUUACCCAACCAAACAUGAGAAAAUUGGAAAAUAUUUUUCUCCGUACCAAACACAUUCAUAGUCAUUGUUCUUCGUAUUUUCGUCAUGUUCUUUAUGUUUUUGCAUUGUUUUUCUUUUUUCUAUGCUUUUUAUUAUAAGCCAAUUAUUGGUAAUACUAGUAAAGAAUUGCCCGUAGCGCACAGGCCUAAAUCUCCCCAAAAAAUGCUAUUUUGAAAUUCUUCAAUUUUAAUUAUACAACUACUUAAUUUAUUCGCGUUUCACGCAUUGUAAAAAAAAAAAUGUAAAACCUCACUAAAUUAAAUUCAGUAAAUUAAUGUAAUAUUUUUAAGGUAAUAUUUCUUCAGGAAACUAGCUACAUAAAUGGGUCAUGAAACUCAAAAUAAUAUCAUGUUCAUACCUUAAUCCAAAGUAUUUCAAGAAAUGCUCAUUCUCUAAAACAAAAAAAACUACAGCCUAUACCCCUAUUCAUUACGACUGAUAAUUUUCGCUUAACUAAUACUAAAUCAAUAUCAUAUACUGUAUUGAUAUCAUUAAGGUAGAUAAUUUCGCUUAACUGAUUCUAAAUCAGUAUAUAUAUAUAUAUAUAUAUAUAUAUAUAUUGUAUUGGUAUCUUAAGGUUUCUUGUUCACAAAUUACUCAUUAGUCAUUAAUACUAUAGAGUAUAUGUAUAUUACCAACAUAGGUUGUGGUGCACUGGUGGGAGUGUUUCACCCUUAACCAGAGGUCUCGAGUUCGAGGAGCGCCACCCCCGAAUGGGCCCUGCAGAGCGCUAUCCAAAUUUAGUCGGAACUCCAAUUAAUUAGUCAAUGAUGUCGGGUCGGAAACCAAAAAAAAUAAGAGUAUAUAUAUAUAUAUAGAUAUAGAUAUAUAUUGUUGUGGUAUCAUUAAGGUUUCUUGUUUAGAAAUUAUUCAUUAGUCAAUGAUAUUAUAAGAGUAUAAGUAUAUUGUUUAAGGUUUCUUAUUCAAAAAUUACUCUUCAAUUAUAUUCUUUGAUGGCUUUUCUAUAAUUAAAAAUUUGAGUUUUAGCAAAAUUAGUAUGCACUAAGCUUUCAUCAUGUGCAUGAUCAGAAAAGGGUUAGAACCAUAAGGGGUCGUUUGGUUACUGUAUAAGAGACAUCUUAUUCAUGUAUAAAAAGUUGUAUUAGCUUUACUAUGUUUGGUAGAAAUUUUGUAUUAUAAAAGUCAACAUAACUUUGUCACGACCCGGGGUUACCCCUAGAAGUAACACAACGUAAUUGACCCCAAAGAGGUCACAUACAAGCCUCAUAGCAUUCAUGAACAUUCAAGCAUAGGGAAAUAGCGCGGAUUUUAAAACUUUUCUUUACAAUCGAAGUCUCUUAUAAAAUAAAAGAGAAUGUAUGACACUACGUCUCAAACCAUCUAUUAUACUUGGAACAAAACUCUUGAAAUACAAUCUUAGGGACAUAGCCCUUACAACCAACGUCUAAAACAUAAAAGAAAGACAAUAAAGGACACAAGGUUGAGCCCUCGAAUACAAUGAGGACUCACCAAUCUUCUUCUUCUUGAUCUCCUAUGAACCUAGCCACGAGGAUGAAAUCUAAUAUCUCCAAAGCCUACACUUAUAGAAAAUGUAGAAAGAUGGGGUUAGUACAAAAAGUACUAAAUAUGGAAACCAUGCACAAAACCAUUAAAACAUGCAUAAAAGGGACACUUCAUUUGAAAUCAUGCUAUAUGCCAUUUUUUAACAUCAUCUUUGAAAUAGCUGGAGAAUACAACCAAUAAGGCAACUCACAUACAUUUCAUUAUAACAUGAGGAUAUCAUUAUAAUAACAAGCAUAGUCUCCAACAUCAACAUAACACAAAUCCCAAUCUUCACAAUACAUAGCCUCCAAUCAUAAAGUAAUACAAAGUCUAAUAUCAAGAUCAUCUCAUCAUUAAGUAAUCAUCACAUUAGCAAUCCAUAAGAGACAUUUGUGCAAUGUAUGGUAACUAACAUGCAUUUACAAUGUACAACACAAGCCAAAAUCACAUUUAUACUCAUUUCAUAGUAAAGUCAUUACCUUAGUAACCCAGAAGGAACACUUGUGCAAUGUGAGGUUAGCAUGCCAUAAUACCAACCCUACAAGUACUCCUUUGAAGCUACCUUAGUCAUGCACUUCAUCUUUAGACCUCAUUAUAAUCAAUAGUCACAAAUAAGGAAAUAGUCAUGUACAUUACUUGAAUUAUAAGGAAAGUCAUUCAUAACAACUAUUCAUUCAAUAUACAUGCAUGCAUUCAAAUCUCAUCAUAAUAUAAAAGGAACCAUCCCAUGACAUCCUACUAAGUCUGCUUGUGCAAUGUAAAGUGAAGUUCCAUACCCCCCACUCCUACUAAGUAAAACCCAUUAAGAGGUCAUAUUAUAGUUCGUGUCUCAUUCAUUAUCUUUAUUAUAUAAGGAAAAGUUGUCAUAACCGACAUAGACCAUGUGAGCUACAUGGAAUUCGGUGUCGUGCAACCCCACACCGAAAGAAGGUGUCCUACUUGCCUAAGGUAGAACUAAAAUGUAUAGUUAUAAGAUGGAUCCACUAGCUAAAGUCCUAUGUUGGCACAUAGUUAUGGGAUAGGGAGAUUGCUUCUAAAAACCCGACCUCUUGCAUUGGCGGAGGAGCUUUUAUCUUAUGAAUUCACUUAGAUGACCCAACCUCUUGUAUUGGUAGAAGGGCCUUUACCUCAUUGUCUAUAUUCACUCAGUGCUUAGCAUUAUUUCCCAAAUUAUACAUAAUUAGUCUUUGAAUUGUAUUUACAUGUGUGAAGGAAUAUUUUGCCCUUUGUUCAAUACAAUUCAUCAAAAUAGCUCAUAGAUUCAUUAAAGUGAGAAUGUACUUUCAACUUUAGAAUCAUAAUUAGUACGUGAGAAUAACUUUCACACCAAGUUCAUGUGUUCUCAUGAGAAUGGACUUUCAAUCAACACAAUAGGAUCAUCAUGGUCAUGUACAUUUCAUGCAUAAUAAUGUGUAAAUGUGCAUAUGAGAACUAUACUUUCAAUUAACACCAUUGAUACAUCAUCAUCAUGUUUAUGCAUGGAGUGUGUGUGUGUCUAAUUGUCUUUGCAAUGACACAAUCGACAACAUUAUCAUCAUGGACACUUCAUUCACAAUUUAAAAAAAGGGUAAGGGAAGGAUGGUCUUUCAACAAUACCUCAAUAUACCCAAUAUUCAUAGGACCAUCAACUUCUAAGUAAAUCAUGAGUUCACACACAAUCUUGUCAACAUGCACAAACCAUCACAAUAUGCCCUUCAAGGGCUAGGGACUAACUCAUCCCAAACACAUAGCAAUAGCACAUUAGAUAAGGGAAUACCAUGAUCCAAUAACUCAUCAAUUCAUUAAUCACAUCAUGAUUGGCACUUUAUACUUUAAGUAUUCAUCAACAUGCACAUAAUAUCAUGAUCAAGUCAUUUCAUUUAGAAGCAUUACCCUAAACCAAUUCAAGUCUAGGUGAUCUAAUCUAAGGCAUUAUAUGGAGAAAUUCAUCAUUCUUGGAGGAUCACAUUUAGACCCUUAAUUAGCCUCUUUCAUGGCACAACCCUAGACUAUAUCAAUUCACCUUAGAAAUCUUAGGUUAAUCAAGUAUACAUGUAAAGUCACACUUAGAUCAUGCAAUUACAUCAUAAUUAACUCACAUUCAUUCCAUUGGACCAACUUGCAAAACCAUCACAUAAUGUAAAGAAGAACCAUAACUAGGAUUGGGGAAAACUCAUGGAUUCUUUGGAAUUCAAGUUAAAAUCAUCUAAAAUCAGUACCAUCAUCAAUAAAAAACAUAAUUCGACCUUUAAGAACAACUUUGAAAGGAAUCCAUGGGGUUGAGUUGAAACCCUAGCUAAUUGGGUUUUCUAGAAUUGAGUUAAAAACUUUUGAAAGGGCUCCUUGGGUGAUAGCUUCCUAAGGAUGAAGAACUCUCAUACCUUAGGUGUAGAAUCCAACCAAUUUCGUGUUGAAAAACUCCCUUCUUCAAGCUUUAACUUGGUUUCCUUCUUGGUUCUUCAAUGGAGUUUCUAGAGAAAAGAGUUUUGGAGAGAAGAGUAGUUGAGUUUUGUCUUGGGUUAUAAUGACUUAAUGAGGUGUUUAAUGACAUAAAAUAGUUUUUAUAUAUGUAUAAUUACUAUAUUAAACGACUCUUACUCAAAACAACUAAUAAAACAGUUUCCUAAACUACCCACCCUUUGGCCGUGUCUAGGCAGUCUACAUGUGCAGUUCACGAGACCCUCAUCCACGGAUCGUGGAUGGGACCACGCCCCGUACUAUGGGGUCGUGGUUUGGGUCUACAACCUGGACUUGGUGGCUUUGAUCUACGGAGCAAGACCACGAGCCGUAGAUCAAUCUACUGGUUGUGGAUUGCAUCUGUAGUUCAUGGAAUUUUGGCAGUUUUUGCUUUAAGGGGCAACCUUGGGGUUAGGCUUUAGGGUCCCCCUCAAGGACCCUUGGUUGGUCCUUGGGGGGUCGUACCUUGACGUUUAACCCCUAUAAUCCUCAUUCUAAGUUCAGGAAGUCAAUAUGCAACGUAAAAUCAAACAUCAAACUCAGAAGCUCACAUGUGAGGCUCUAGUUUCACCUACUAGUUUCCAUUAGACUUUACCUUGGUCUUUCUAGAUUUACAGGUUGUUACAAACUUGUACCAUGUUUGGUUGGUAAGGAUUUAAAUGUUGUAUAGAAGUUAUUCAUGUAUUAAUUUAUACGGUGUUUGGUUGCAUUUUUUGUAGUCCUACAUAAUUAAUACCAACAUAACUUAUGAGGGAAUCUAUGUAUAAAGUUAUGCAGGGUAGAAGGUAGAAUAAGUUAUGUGUGUAUUAGUUAUACAUGUGUUAAAAUGAUAAAUUACAUAUUUACCAAUUAAUUUAUUUUAUUUUUUUAAUUGGUAACUUUACUGUUUCCUUAUUAUACGUUUGUUGUUUUUAUUUCUUUUUAUAUAUAGACCAUUUUCAUUUUUUUUUAAUUUUUUUUAAUUGGAAACUUUCCUACUGUUUUCCUAUCUACGUUUGUUGUUUUUAUUUCUUUUUAUAUAUAGACCAUUUUCAUUUCUUUUUAUAUACUUACAGUUUUUAUUUAUUUAUGCAAAUAUAAAUAUUUUUUUUAAUAUUAGAAAUUUGAUUGUAUAUUUUUUGACGGUACAUAUGCUAAUCAAAUAUUAGCAUUAUAUAUUAUUCAAUCUAUUCCACAUUUUAUUAGCACGUAUUAUUAUUUUGUAAAUAAUAUAUAUUAAUAAUUUACAACAAGUUUAAUAUUCAAUAGUUAAUAAUUCAUGUAUUGUAAUCUCUACAUAAUUAAAUAAUACCUACAUAACUAAUAUCUGCAUAACUAAUACUCGCAUAUAUAAACCCAACAUAACUAAACCCUGCAUAACUAAUUCAUGUAUAACUAAUAUCGGCAUAACUAAACGCUACAUAACUAAUACUCCUGCAUAACUAAACCCUGCAUAACUAAUACCUGCAUAACUCAAACCAGUAACCAAACGGCCCCUAAGGGAUCUAUUUGUACGCAAUUCCUUUUCUCUAUUUGCUCUGAUUAUAGAUGUGGGCACGUGGCUAAGAAACAUAAUUUCACAUGAGAAAAAAUUGUGUUGUGGCUAAGAAACACAAUUUACGUGAGAAAGAAUUGUGUUUUAUGGAGAGCUUUAUAUAUGAUAGAACUUUGUACACACGAUGACAGGAUCAGAAUUUUUUAUUAAAAAAUUUAAAAUAUAUAAAAACAAAUAUAUAGGAAAAAAGAUAAGAAGGUUUAAAUUUGUUAUAUAUAUAAAUUUUUAAAAAAUAAAUAUUUAGCAUUGUGUAAAACUUAUCAUAGGGAGAAGGCCAGAAAAAAGUUUUAAAACAGAAAGAAAUGAACACUUAAAUGAAGAGACAAAAUAGAUUGAUGUCUGCUCAUGAAGAAGCAUUAGAAUGAUCUUUUUAGUUCCUUGAUAAUCUGUGUUACACAAUCUCACUAUACAUGCUGUAGGUAUCAGAGAAACAAAUAUCUAUACCUGGCCAAAAAUGAUCUAGAUAUACAUGAUACAUAAACUAGGAAUAACUACUUCUAUUUGCUUGCCAGAACUUCAUCUAGGUAAAAAGAUUCCGCUGAUCGAUCUGUUUCAGAGAAGCCAUAUGCUGAACUCAUCAGAUCAUCUGCUUUCUCAUCGAACAUCCUAACAUCUGUUUCUUUAUCAAAUACCUGGUUUCCCUUUUUCCCUCGUUCUGCCCUGGACGACACUGUUUUGUGCUUGAUACCAACAGCUUCAGCUUGAUCUGCAAAUAAUUUCUUUGAGAUGGACGAACUGCAUAUUUGUUGAUAUACAUCGUAGGUAGCUGCGUGAGUGUUUUCUCCGUUCAGAAUAUUUGAAAGAGGAUGCAACACGGAAAUUGGAUCACUGUUCCUACUUAGAGUUUCCUUCAAUUCUAGAAACUUAGAAACCAGUUCUGGCUUGCUAAACUGAAUAAAGACAGCGCUUUCAUCCAAAUGGUAGACAGAGGAAACAGAAUUUGGGCCAAAGGCUUGUGCUAUAUAAGCUCUUAUCUCCCUUGCUUUUAGUUUAGAUGGCAAUCCCCAUAACAGAAUGAUGCUAGGAAAUGAGAUAUCCUGGUACCGACUUUUGAGGUUACUAGAAGCUGAGGAGUCUGGUGUACAUUUCCCACUACUUAGAUCAAUGACGUUACCACUAACCCAGCUAAGGUAAAGGCGAUUGAUAUAAUUCUGAAGCUUUGUCUCCUUCGCUAAAUCCCCACCAAGCACAUGGAGAGUGA